UGGGGAAUAUUGCACAAUGGGGAAGACCCUGAUGCAGCGACGCCGCGUGAAGGAAGAAGUAUCUCGGUAUGUAAACUUCUAUCAGCAGGGGAAGAAAAUGACGGUACCUGACUAAGAAGCCCCGGCUAACUACGUGCCAGCAGCCGCGGUAAUACGUAGGGGCAAGCGUUAUCCGGAUUUACUGGGUGUAAAGGGAGCGUAGACGGAGCAGCAAGUCUGAUGUGAAAGGCAGGGGCUCAACCCUGACUGCAUUGGAAACUGUGGAUCUAGAGUGCCGGAGAGGUAAGCGGAAUUCCUAGUGUAGCGGUGAAAUGCGUAGAUAUUAGGAGGAACACCAGUGGCGAAGGCGACUUUCUGGACAGUAACUGACGUUGAGGCUCGAAAGCGUGGGGAGCAAACAGGAUUAGAUACCC
rnacentral:rRNA from 1 species